GUUUGUAUUAUGUUCUCAGUUUUGUGUUUUCUAUAGUGUGUUUUGUAUACUGUAUGUUGUUUGUUUUGUUUUUUUCAUUUUGGCAAUGGCAUUGUAAGAUUUGUUUUCAACUUGAGUUGUAAGUUUCAAUGGUAUCUUCAUUGAUCUUUCAUCUCCUUUUUGCUCAGUCUUUUGUUUUCUAUGAUGUGUUUUGUAUUAACUGUUGUUUGUCUUUUUAUGAUGUGUUUUGU
rnacentral:lncRNA from 1 species